rnacentral:miRNA from 2 species
AAUCGACGGCCUCAGUCAGGG